GAUGAACGCUAGCGGGAGGCCUAACACAUGCAAGCCGAGCGGUAUGCAUUCUUAGCUUGCUAAGAAUGCAGAGAGCGGCGCACGGGUGCGUAACAUGUGUGCAACUUGCCUUUAUCAGGGGGAUAGCCUUUAGAAAUGAAGAUUAAUACCCCAUAAUAUAUUGAUUGGCAUCAAUUAAUAUUGAAAACUUCGGUGGAUAAAGAUAGGCACGCACAAGAUUAGCUAGUUGGUACGGUAACGGCGUACCAAGGCGACGAUCUUUAGGGGGCCUGAGAGGGUGAUCCCCCACACUGGUACUGAGACACGGACCAGACUCCUACGGGAGGCAGCAGUGAGGAAUAUUGGACAAUGGGUGAGAGCCUGAUCCAGCCAUCCCGCGUGAAGGACGACGGACCUAUGGUUUGUAAACUUCUUUUAUAUAGGAAUAAACCUACCCUCGUGAGGGUAGCUGAAUGUACUAUACGAAUAAGCACCGGCUAACUCCGUGCCAGCAGCCGCGGUAAUACGGAGGGUGCAAGCGUUAUCCGGAUUUAUUGGGUUUAAAGGGUCCGUAGGCGGGCUAAUAAGUCAGUAGUGAAAUCUUGUCGCUUAACGAUAAAACUGCUAUUGAUACUGUUAGUCUUGAGUGUAUUUGAAGUAGCUGGAAUGAGUAGUGUAGCGGUGAAAUGCAUAGAUAUUACUCAGAACACCAAUUGCGAAGGCAGGUUACUAAGAUACAACUGACGCUGAUGGACGAAAGCGUGGGGAGCGAACAGG
rnacentral:rRNA from 1 species